rnacentral:rRNA from 1 species
UACAGAGGUCUCAAGCGUUGUUCGGAUUCAUUGGGCGUAAAGGGUGCGUAGGCGGCGCGGUAAGUCGGGGUGUGAAAUCUUGGAGCUUAACUCCGAAACUGCAUUCGAUACUGCCGUGCUUGAGGACUGGAGAGGAGACUGGAAUUUACGGUGUAGCGGUGAAAUGCGUAGAUAUCGUAAGGAAGACCAGUGGCGAAGGCGGGUCUCUGGACAGUUCCUGACGCUGAGGCACGAAGGUCAGGGGGAGCAAAACGGG